AAGUCAUGGUUAGGGUAUUUCCUAAGUAUUUACUUGAAUUUCUCUCAACUCUCAUAAAUGAAUUCUUUUCUAACUGAGUAAAAGAAGUAAUGUAAUUUCUAAGUUU